GAUGAACGCUAGCUACAGGCUUAACACAUGCAAGUCGAGGGCAGCACUAGGUAGCAAUACUGAGGUGGCGACCGGCGCACGGGUGCGUAACGCGUAUCCAACCUUCCCGAUACUCUUGGAUAGCCUUCCGAAAGGGAGAUUAAUACAAGAUGGUGUUUCACUUUCGCAUGUUAUUGAAACUAAAGAUUUAUCGGUAUCGGAUGGGGAUGCGUGACAUUAGAUAGUAGGCGGGGUAACGGCCCACCUAGUCUACGAUGUCUAGGGGUUCUGAGAGGAAGGUCCCCCACACUGGAACUGAGACACGGUCCAGACUCCUACGGGAGGCAGCAGUGAGGAAUAUUGGUCAAUGGUCGGAAGACUGAACCAGCCAAGUAGCGUGAAGGAUGAAGGUUCUAUGGAUUGUAAACUUCUUUUAUACGGGAAUAAAACCUCCCACGUGUGGGAGCUUGUAUGUACCGUAUGAAUAAGCAUCGGCUAACUCCGUG
rnacentral:rRNA from 1 species